UACGGGGGGGCAAGCGUUGUUCGGAAUUACUGGGCGUAAAGGGCGCGUAGGCGGACUUUUAAGUUGGGGGUGAAAGCCCGGGGCUCAACCUCGGAAUUGCCUUCAAUACUGGAUGUCUUGAGUUCGGGAGAGGUGAGUGGAAUGCCGAGUGUAGAGGUGAAAUUCGUAGAUAUUCGGCGGAACACCAGUGGCGAAGGCGACUCACUGGCCCGAUACUGACGCUGAGGCGCGAAAGCGUGGGGAGCAAACAGG
rnacentral:rRNA from 1 species